rnacentral:rRNA from 1 species
UAAUGUCUGGGAAACUGCCUGAUGGAGGGGGAUAACUGCUGGAAACGGUAGCUAAUACCGCAUAACGUCGCAAGACCAAAGAGGGGGACCUUCGGGCCUCAUGCCAUCAGAUGUGCCCAGAUGGGAUUAGCUAGUAGGUGGGGUAACGGCUCACCUAGGCGACGAUCCCUAGCUGGUCUGAGAGGAUGGCCAGCCACACUGGAACUGAGACACGGUCCAG